UGGGCAAACCUAUAGAAAUAUAGGGACGCAAAGUUUAGUGUCUAAGGAAGUAUCUAUGAUUGACUGGCUGC
rnacentral:ncRNA from 1 species